rnacentral:rRNA from 1 species
GAUGAACGCUAGCGGCAGGGCCUAACACAUGCAAGUCAGGGGGUAACAUAGGAAAGCUUGCUUUUCUGAUGAUGACCGGCGCACGGGUGCGUAACGCGUAUACAACCUACCUUUUAGCGGGGAAUAGCCCAGGGAAGCUUGGAUUAAUGCCCCAUAGUAUAUAGACUUCUCCUGAAGUUUAUAUUAAACAUUUAUGGCUAUUAGAUGGGUAUGCGUCCUAUUAGUUAGUUGGUAAGGUAACGGCUUACCAAGGCAGCGAUAGGUAGGGGUCCUGAGAGGGAGAUCCCCACACUGGUACUGAGACACGGACCAGACUCCUACGGGAGGCAGCAGUGAGGAAUAUUGGACAAUGGGCGAGAGCCUGAUCCAGCCAUGCCGCGUGCAGGAAGACUGCCCUAUGGGUUGUAAACUGUCUUUUACAGAGGAAGAACCCACCCCCACGUGUGGGGGUUUGACGGUACUCUGCGAAUAAGGAUCGGCUAACUCCGUG